UGGUCAAAUAGCGCCCCCUUAAGGUACAGUGUAAGUGCGUAUCACUAACUCAGUGGGAGAGAGAAGAGAGGACAGGCCAGCUGUCCUAACCAGUAAAAUAUUCAACUCUUAACAGGAAGAAAGAAGAGCUAACAUUGUUUAAUAAACUAACAAGCACGUGCUUUCAGAUAGUGAAAUUAAUUAAGAAUUAAAACAGACGUCGUGUAACCGGAAGUUAAACAAAUGAAGAAGCUCCAGUGGAAACGUCUGGGUAUGGAUAAUAAACAUUCAGCUCACGGGGAAAAGGAAGACAGCCUUCAAACAAUGCCACAGACGUAAGACCAGCACGCCUUAAAUGCAUUGGACCUGAACCUGGGGCAGGCAAAACCGAGGAAAUCAGAGCUGACUGGGGCACUGACGGAGAAUGCUUUGAGGUUUCCCUUACAGUGCAUGAAAAGGAGAUGGACCUCACAACAUCUUUAUUUAUCUCAAUGUAUCAAAUUAAACAGGAGAGGGAUUGUGUUUGAUUGUGGUGGACCAAAACCCAGACUACUGACCAAUACGCGUUUUGAAUCGGGCUUCGAAGGAUCAGAUUCAAAGUGAUGGAGUGGAGAAGGGAAGGAGGCAGAUCUCUGUGGGUUGGAAGACUUUGUGAGUUGUGAAAGAUUUUUGCCAGAGGACAGCCAAGUGGAUGGCAUCUGUGGUCAGCAAGGCAUUGCCUUUAUUUCCUUGGAUCAAAGUUAGCCAGGACUUGGUCUGUUUAAAGUAGGCUUUCUAAAACUCUAACUUGGCAGCUUUUAACUUGGAAUAAUAAAAAUACAUCUGAUUUGUAAUGCACCUUUCAUACAAAAAUGCAGCUUUGUUGCCAUGUUCCCAGUGAGCAGACAUUUCUGAACCACAGUUUUUGUUAUGUGUACCCUUGUGGGUCACAUGUAAUUUUGAAUAGCUAAAGACAAGAUGGAACUUAAAAAUAUACGAACGGCUUCCUGCCGACUGAAGAAUUCAGGUCAGCUGCUUACAUGGGAUGUGAUUUUAUUCUAGUCUUGUAUUUAAAUGUCCCAUCACAUUCAAUCAGAACAGUGUUAAAUGCUUUGCAUGAUUCAUGGUUCAAAAUGAUCCUUAUUUUUCAGUCCUUCAGUUCAUUCUGUCUGAAAUAAGCUGUUUUAGCUCCUAUCCUUUACGACCCCUCUCCCUUUAAUCCAGCUUUGUGCUGAUUAAUUGCAAGAGGCAACCAAGGUGGGGAGUCGGGGGCAAUUUAGACUCUCUAAUUAACUUAACAAGCAAAGAGAAGAAGCCAAAGUGCCUGGAAAGAGCUCCCCCAUGCACUGGGAGAACAUUGAAACUCCAUAAAGAAGGCCUCCUCAACUAAAAACGGUCUUGUUAUGAGGGAACAGCACCAACUACCACUGCUACAUUAUUAAAACUUUGCCCAGGGUUCAUGUUAGCACCCUCAAAAGGAAAAGCACAACAUGUAAGAUUUUACAUUGAAAACAAACAGCAGUGAAUCACAUUAAAGCUCUUGUG